rnacentral:rRNA from 1 species
UACGUAGGUGGCAAGCGUUGUCCGGAUUUACUGGGCGUAAAGGGCGCGUAGGCGGCCAGUGCAAGUCAGUUGUGAAAUCUCCGAGCUUAACUCGGAAAGGUCAACUGAUACUGCUCGGCUAGAGUGCGGAAGGGGCAACUGGAAUUCUUGGUGUAGCGGUGAAAUGCGUAGAUAUCAAGAGGAACACCUGCGGCGAAGGCGGGUUGCUGGGCCGACACGUGACGCUGAGGCGCGAAAGCUAGGGGAGCGAACGGG